GCAGUCCCUGUUUCCUGGGGUUUGAAAAACCCGAGGGCACCCUGGCCACACACUGUGGGAGCGCCGGAACAGGAGUGCGCUAUCCAGCGCGCCACAAUUUCUGGAGUCAGGGAAUCACUGUUCUCCAUAUACUGAAGAGUCCUGUAAGAAAAAGGACAGCGCCAUCCCCAAGUCAGACAUUUGUGUGUCUUAGCUCAACAGAUGCCGUAUUAGGAACACACAUUAUGGCUCCACUAUCUAGAUGA
ensembl:lincRNA